rnacentral:tRNA from 1 species
UGAUAGCUAGUUUAACUCAAAACAACUG